rnacentral:tRNA from 1 species
GGGGAAAUAGCACUGCAGUUAAGAGCACUUGGUUGCUCUUCCAGAGGACCUGGGUUCAAUUUCCAGCAUCCCCA